rnacentral:rRNA from 1 species
UUGGGUUAAGUGUGCGCAGGCGGUUAUGCAAGACAGAGGUGAAAUCCCCGGACUCAACCUGGGAACUGCCUUUGUGACUGCAUAGCUAGAGUACGGUAGAGGGGGAGUGGAAUUCCGCGUGUAGCAGUGAAAUGCGUAGAUAUGCGGAGGAACACCGAUGGCGAAGGCAAUCCCCCUGGACCUGUACUGACGCUCAUGCACGAAAGCGUGGGGAGCAAAACAGGAUUAGAUACCCCGCGUA